rnacentral:rRNA from 1 species
UACGGGGGGGGUAAGCGUUGUUCGGAAUUACUGGGCGUAAAGGGCUUGUAGGUGGCCAACUAAGUCAGACGUGAAAUCCCUCGGCUUAACCGGGGAACUGCGUCUGAUACUGGAUAGCUGGAGUGUGGGAGAGGGAUGCGGAAUUCCAGGUGUAGCGGUGAAAUGCGUAGAUAUCUGGAGGAACACCGGUGGCGAAGGCGGCAUCCUGGACCAUUACUGACACUGAAAAGCGAAAGCCAGGGGAGCAAACGGG